rnacentral:lncRNA from 1 species
AGGCACCAAUCUUUCCACCCUUUAGUAGGACUAGGCCAAGAACGGAAAGUGUCUUUCCACAGAUCUAAAGAGAAGUUUUCAACCCUAAAGGGGAUCCUAUUUGUCUCUACAUUUAUUAAAUCGGUAGGAUCUGGAUUUCCCAAUGGACCAAGACACUAGAAGUGAGGUUGAUCGGUAGGGAUUACAAUCUUAUCAGCCAUUUCCUAAAAGAUUUGGAGG